CUCAAGGUCCAUUCUAAGUAGGUCAAUCCAGCAUCACUUUGAUUGGCUUUUUUACUUUGUUCCUCUACUGAGUAAAUAAUGUAAUUAAAGUUCUGUACUUAUGAGUAGAAAGAGCUUUACAAUUGUUCAGAAUGUGUUUAUUCAGGAUUACUCUGUUCCUGUGGCUGUGGCGUCUAAGUAGAACAUCUGAAGAGAACCAACUGAAAACAUUGACAACUGGAGAAGCACAUGUCAUUCAAUUCUGCCCCAAUCAUACAUUGAAUGACAUCAUGUCCGUUAUAUGUAAAAUAAGUGGGGGGCAGAAGUGUCAGGUAUCAUUACGGUUUGACCAAAAUUAUCCAGAUAGCAACUGUGACUCCAGGGUCACACUACAGACAGAGAAAGGUGAAGUGUUUCUACACAUCAGCAGCAUACAACCAUCUGAUGAAGGGAACUACACCUGUGAAUGUACAUAUAAUGGAGGAAGAGAUGUUUUAUAUCUUAAUAUUUCUGUCAAUGCAUCACAGGUGGUUGAGGAAACAGGCACUUCUGGAACUUUCUUUUCUCUGAUGAUAAUUGGCUUCACCGCAAUUGUAGCUGUAAUUUUCCUCACUGGCAUCAUCAUGAAGACAGUUAAAUUCAGCAGGAGAACGCAGCAAGAAGAGGAGCAUCAACUUGACACUGUGGGAUUUUACUCAACCCUACAAAUGCCACAUCCUCACCACUGACCCUGACAGCGUUGACCAAUGCCCUGGACUCACCUGCCCUGGACAUACAUCUCCAGCCAUACAGUACAAGAAGAUAAUCAAAGCAAUUCAUGGCAACUCAUUCUCUUAAAACAUUUGGUCCUUUAAAGUACCCUUUCUUGGAUCAGCAUCAGACCAAAAACCCAGGGAGAACCAUCUGGCCUGGGGCUGUAAAAGGGGGCCCUUAACCACAGCCUGGAUGUCACCUCUUGAUAUACAGUGGGGAGAACAAGUAUUUGAUACACUGCCGAUUUUGCAGGUUUCCCUACUUACAAAGCAUGUAGAGGUCUUUAAUUUUUAUCAUAGGUAAACUUCAACGGUGAGAGA
ensembl:lncRNA